UGGGCUUCUUUUGUUAAAGCGCGGCCUUCGCGACAAACGGGGGAAUCGCCUCGCGACCGAAAUGGCCGCCACCGCCGCCGCCGCCGCCGGAGUUGCCGUUGCCGGCGACCGCGCGCGCCGGCGGCAGUGGAGGUACACGUGGGAGAGCCUAGCGCACCUCCCGCUCCUACGCCUCUACCUCUUCCGCCCGGAGCUCUCCGCCGCCGCGGCCGCCGACCACCUCCGCGCCGACCUCCGCCUCGACGACUCGCUCCUCCUCCUCUCCUUCUCGCUCGCCGGGGAACCAGUCGCCCUCAGGGUCCCCGUCCCGAGGGUGCUCGUCGACCCCUCCGCCCCUCCCGAGUGCCGCGACGCGGGGGACCAUGUCGAGGUCCGCCUCGCGCUCGUCCUCCCCGUCGACCACCCCGUCGUCGCCGCCGCCUUCCUACCGCCCCCCGGCGAGGAGCCGCCCGCGCCUCUCUCCCUCCGCGAUGAUAUAAAGAAUCUGUCUUCUGGAGAUGUUCACUUGUACUGCAAAGCAUGCUCAGCAAGAUUGACAAAACAGCCACUAAGGAACAUCGAGGAAAUGCCAUCGUUAAACUGGGAAGAUGUGGCUGACAAUUGGUUUGGUGGAUGUUGCACCUCAUUUGGAGGUGCAAGCGAAAAGCUAGUAUCACAGUAUAUCAAUGCAUAUGGGCGUCUAGAGGGAACAAGUCUACUAAAUGCUACCUCCAUUAGCAUAGAAAAGGAUUAUCUUGAGAAGGAUUUAGCAUCUGGGUUAGUUAGUUCAGUGCCCAGUAACGAUUGUGAUGCUCUGCAGGAAGAUAUAUGUGAUGUUCACAUAGGAGAAGAUCAUACCACGGGGAACAUGGAAUUUAAUAGUUCAGAAGAGAAAGCAUAUCAUGAAAAGCAGAUUGGUUGUAAUCAUGUGCAAUGUUCUGUUGUUCCUGAAGAGGGUCCUUGUGUCAGUAAUAGUGAAAAAGAUGGAGACACUCUUUGGACUGAUCAAUCUGGCAUCAUUAAAGUGAACCCCGAGGAGUCUAAAAAUGACUCUUGUGUUGAUGACAUAGAGAAACCUACCAAAGAGACCGAUUUGUUGUCUGUAGAUCCAUGCAAUUGCUGUUGUGACGGUGGAAACAGCAGAAAAUCUGAAGACAAUCCUUCGAACGUGCCCUCUGGGAACCUGGAAAUGCAGGCUAAAUUGGACACCCAAAGAGAUUACAAAUUAACAAAAAGUAUAUCUCUUGGUUGUAGCUUCAUUGUGAAAGCAUCUAACCUUGUAAAUGAUGUUGAAUGGCUUGAACUUCUAUGUGCUCAUUGCUCAUCACCUAUUGGGUCAUACCCUUCACAACAUUCACAUGCUCCAGCAGAUGGCCGUGUACGACUAUUUAAAUGCUAUGCAUCGUCAGACCUUCAUGUUGGGGGACCUCAUGAUGUGUUCAGGGGGCAUACAUUAGAAAGACUUUUUGUUAAUUUGUUGCUUGAAGUUGCAGAAGAUGAAAUAUCUUUUCGUACAUUAGUCAGAGAUCUGAAAACCAAAAGGCCCAUCCUUCAAAUAGUCCUCCUUAGUUCAAAAGCGUGGCUGUUUUCUGGCUACUGCUAUGAAAAUGAUAUGGAUGGUUCACAUGGGGCAGCACAUCUGCAGCCCUCUGUUAAGAUCUUGUAUUCUAAUUGCAGUAAUGCUUUGGAAGAAGACUUAAGGACAGUAGAGGAGUGGUCAUCCAAAUAUAGGGCUGAAGAGUUGUACAUGAUGAGGCGUCAAAUAGAUGAGCUUAUUCUAAGCCUCAACUCAGCUAGGGAUAAUUUUCCACUUUCUUGCUCUUCCCUCCAGGGAAUGUACCUCUCAUCCCUAGAGCGUUGACUUGAAAAUGAGAUAAGCUCGGAUCAUGUCCUCAUGCCCUAAUACCUGUGCAUACACAGUUUUAAUAUUCUUUCAGUGAACUCAUUGACCAUCUCAUAAGUAAACUGCAAUACAUUGGGCUUGUCUUUUGCCGUCAAAAGACAGAGUGGCAUCGAAAUGGAGUAAUGGAACAGAGCAAUGGUGGAUCCAGCUACCAGUGAAUUCUGGCUCAUUAUGCUUUCGGUAGUAGGUUGUUUUAUUCAACCAUCUGGUUAUCUACUUCAUACAGUAUUUGACAUCUCGCUGUAUCUCUGAAGAAUUAGGUGAUCCUGCUUGCAGUCUGUAUCCUGCUGAAGACUUCAAGGGAAGACACCAUGGGCCAAUAGAUUAAAUACAUCUAUGCCUAUAAUGGCAGACAUAAUAAAGUGGAGCUAGUCUCUCUAAUCAUCUCCAGUACUCUUAACUGGAGCUUUCAUCAUGUGGACACAUACCCAACCCCAGGGCUAUAAUUCAGAUGGAUCAACCAAUGCAAGCCUUAUCUUUCUCUGGCAAAGAGGAUCUGUACCUGAGAUCCUAGCAUUAAAACCCACAGGUCAAACCAGUAGAAGCGGGAAGACAGACAUUGCAAGGCCGGUGCCUUUGAGCAAUGUAGGGGCCCAUGCAUAGAGGGAUCCAAGGGAGAAAAGGUAUAGUAGAUAGCACUGAGGCCUAGUGGGAGCCGUUACACUAGUAUCCAAAUGUUUAUACAGUAAUAGUAUAUUGCCAAGUUAACAGUUCAGUCCAGUCCAACUGGGUUGGAUGAUCAUAUAUACUACAUACUGUGUGUGUGCCUCCUGCAUCCAUCUAGCAGCAGUUGUAUCUGAAUUUUUAAUGUUUAAAGGAUUAGAACAUUCCAUGGAACAUUGGGAUACCUACACUGACCAGAAGCUACUAGCACUUCAAAGGUAGUAGUAGUUGUAAAAAAAAGAAAAAUCAGUGAGAAGUUGAUAGUGUGCAUGCAUGUAUUGUUAACCACUGCACUUUGACUCUUUUUUCUUUCAGUGUUUUGGAGUGUCUGAUUUGUGUUUGCAUGUAGGAUUUGAUUUAUACAACUUGGAUGGAUUAAUCCUGUAA